ACUCUCCCCACCUCACCCCGCUGUCUCCAGGGCUUGUUUUCCGUUGCCUGAGGUUUGUUUCAGUGACUCAGGCAGCGAAAGCAAGUCUGGGAGGCUGCGGAGCCACUGCUGGGAGAGCU
rnacentral:precursor_RNA from 12 species